rnacentral:tRNA from 1 species
CCGGACUUAAGCUCCGGUGCUUAGUGCUUCGUGGGUUCAAAUCCCACCCCCUGCACCA